GAAAAAGAAGAAGAAGAUGAAACUUUUUAGGUGAAUAUGGGAAAUGAAAAUCCGAAACAGAAGUUAGGAAUUGGAUUGUAUAUGUCAGAAAGGCAAAUGGUCUGAAAACAAUAUUAAAAAGAGGAAUAAUUCAGAUUCAACUAUGUUCGAACUUAGAACUUAGAACUAAACAAUUUACGUUGCUUGAAUGAGCCACAAAUUCCUCUAAAGUUGAUUGGCUCAGGAAAUCACAUUAUCAUCAAAUACACUCAACAAUUGUCAAAACAGAUUAAACAAACAAAGAACAACAACAACAAAGAUUCAAGACCCACAAACAAAUUGAAAAUCACUUUUUAAAGCUUAAUAACCAGCAACAUUUACAUCUUUAAAUAUACUUUCUUUUUUAUGAUUUUCAAAUAUUAAAGGAAAAAAUGCUGAAUGUUUCAAAUGAUAGAAGGAAAAAAAAAACUGACAACAAAACCACAAAUCAAAGGCAACACCUUCAAAGCUCCCACUAACUUCUGUAGCAAUUUCCAUACACUCAAAUAUAAAUAAAUAAAUUAAAAUAAAAAAUAAAAUAAAGCUAACUUUUACAUCAACUGACAAAAUUUGCUUCACUUAUUUUCCCAGAAAAUAAACAGAUUACACCCAAAUUUACCCUGUCAAAUCAGAAACCAAAAGGUUCAAAAUUAAAACAAAAAAAGAAAGAAAAAAAAAACUGUAAAGAAACACCUGACCUAGAUUUCAAUGGAAGUACUUAAUUUUACAUUUUUUUUUUUUUUGCAUAAUAGAAAAGCUGAAGCAGUUCCAAAUAAACAAUUUUCUCAAGCAUAUAUACAUUUAUUUAUUUUUAAAAAAAUAAAUAAAAAGGAUACGUAUUUUGUAUCCACGCUUUGCCAUUUUUUGUUGGGCACCUCUGAAUCAAGCUUCUGGAGCUGAAAUAAAAUUCCUUUCUGAAGAAACAAACAAAUUGAGGAGUUGGGUCGACUUCAAAAACGAAGCUUGUUGCUUCUUGAUACUACUUUUACACCAGCACAACGAUUCAGAAGGAGAAAAAGAAGAAGAAGAUGAAACUUUUUAGGUGAAUAUGGGAAAUGAAAAUCCGAAACAGAAGUUAGGAAUUGGAUUGUAUAUGUCAGAAAGGAAAAUGGUCUGAAAACAAUAUUAAAAAGAGGAAUAAUUCAGAUUCAACUAUGUUCGAACUUAGAACUUAGAACUGAGAAAUAAUAUAUAUUUCUAUUUCCUUUUCAUUUUUUUUAUUUUUUCAAGGUAAUAAUCCUUUCAUUUUCUCUGUCCUAAAUAAAUAUAAAUACUUUCUUUUUUC
rnacentral:lncRNA from 1 species